AUGGAUUGGCCGGCUUUCCCAUGCUUCUCUAGGAUAGCAGUGUUGAUACUUCUGAUCUUCCUGCCGUUGAGAGCGUCCGAAGACCGGCUUGUACCCGGCAAAACACUCUCCCCUGGCGCCACCAUCGUCUCCUAUGGAGGUGCCUUUGUAUUAGGCUUCUUCUCCCUGUCCAACUCCAGCACCCCGGCCCGGAUGUACGUCGGCAUCUGGUACAACAACAUCCCUGAGCUUACCGUGGUGUGGGUUGGCAACCGAGGAAACCCGGCCAGCAACACGACUUCACCGAUGCUCUCCCUCACCAACUCCUCCAAUCUUGUUCUAUCAGAUGGUGACGGUGGCCGUGUCAUUUGGACAACGACCAACAUGGGUACUGCCGCGGGCUCGUCUCCCUCCGUGGCAGUGCUUCUAAACACCGGCAACCUCGUCGUCCGCUCGCUAAACGGCACCACGUUGUGGCAGAGCUUCGAGCACCACACCGACACGCUCCUUCCUGGCAUGAAGCUCCGGUUCAAGUACAUGCAAAAUGGAACAAGCAACCGCCUGGUAUCCUGGAAGGGUCCUAGUGACCCUUCGCCGGGGCGCUUCUCCUAUGGUGGCGACACGAGCACAUUCCCUCAAAUAUUCUUAUGGGACGAGGAGCGUCCGGUGUCUCGUAGCGCUCCAUGGACGGGGUACCUGGUGAAGAGCGAGCUUCGAUACCAGCAGGCAAAUAGCACUGCAGAUGUUAUCAUCUACUUGGCGGUCGUCGAUGGCGACGAUGAGAUCUAUACUACCUACAGCGUCUCUGAUGGUGCCCCACACACUAGGUACGUGUUGACCUACUUUGGAUCCAAACGCACCCUUAGUGUUUGUCCAGUACAAGGGUAG
rnacentral:rRNA from 1 species